UUUGGUUGCUUAUACUUUUCAAUUUCAAGCUCAUGCUGCUCCUGCAGGGCCAUUAGUUAAGCACUUGUCUUCUCUUCUCAAAUGGACUGCCAGAUCAUCCUCCAAAAUACCCCAGUCAGAUGGGAAUGUUCUUCAAUUUGAAGAUGGGUACUUAGUGGAGACUGUUGUGGAAGGAAAUGAAAUUGGAGUUGUUCCUUACAAAAUCCGCGUCUCUGAUGAUGGAGAACUAUAUGCUGUUGAUGAGGUUAAUAGCAACAUUGUUAAAAUUACCCCUCCAUUGUCCCAAUACAGUAGGGCCAGAUUGGUGGCUGGUUCAUUUCAGGGUUAUAAAGGGCAUGUGGAUGGAAAACCAAAUGAAGCUCGUUUUAAUCAUCCCAGAGGUGUAACCAUGGAUGAUAAAGGGAAUGUGUAUGUGGCUGAUACCUUGAAUCUUGCCAUCAGAAAGAUUGGAGAUGCUGGUGUGACAACCAUUGCUGGUGGGAAAUCAAAUAUUGCUGGCUACAGGGAUGGACCUAGUGAGGAUGCGGANNNNNAUUUUGAUGUGGUAUAUGUUCACUCCACAUGUUCUCUGUUAGUUGUUGAUAAAGGAAAUGCUGCUCUUCGACAAAUCUCACUCAACCAAGAAGAUUGUGAUUAUCAGUCCAGUUCAAUUACUGCUACAGAUUUCCUUAUGGUUGUUGGGGUCGUCUUGGCUGGAUAUGUUACAUGUAUGCUUCAACAAGGAUUUGGGCCUUCUUUCUUCUCAAGAAUGCAGCAAUAUUCAGAGGGUGAAUUUAUGGAGUACCCAAGUAUGGAGAAACCGACUCCUAUCACAGAGAGCAUGAAAGAGGAUCCUAAGUGGCCCUCUUUUGGACAGCUUAUUAUUGAUCUUUCCAAGCUAGCACUUGAGGCAUUGGCUAGCAUGUUCCUCUUCUUAAUCCCUUCAUGGUUCAGAUCAAGUGGAUCCAAAGGCCUCACACCAUUGAAAGAUUCCCUAAGGAUGCCUGAAGAUGAAGUUGAACCCCCAAUAGUGCAGAGGCUGAGUAUUCCUGUUCCUUUGUCUGAAACCCGGCAGGUCCAUACUCCUGAUACUAGCGAUAAAUAUUCAGAAAUGAAGCCACCAAAGAUCAAGUCAUCCAGUUUCAAGGAUCCUUCUUUAUCAAGCAAGCACCGUUCCUCAAAACGACAAGAAUAUGCAGAAUUCUAUGGAUCAGGUGAGGUGCCUCCUUCUGGCAGGCCCAAGAGCCACAAAGAGAGAACAAGGCAUCGACAACGUGAAAAGAGUGGAGAGUUGAUUUUUGGAGCAGCCGGGACAGAGCCAACAAAACCUGUUGAAAUGAAGCCUGUGAAUUAUGAUAAUCCAAAAUUUGACCAUUACAAUAUGAGAAGCAAGUAUGGAUCUGACAAUUCCUACCCAUUUUGAUCAA
rnacentral:misc_RNA from 1 species